GAGUUUGAUCCUGGCUCAGGGCGAACGCUGGCGGCGGGCCUAACACAUGCAAGUCGUACGCGGGUUCUCCUUUCGGGAGAACUGCCGAGUGGCGAACGGGUGCGUAACGCGUAGGUAACCUGCCCUCGAGUGGGGGAUAACUCCGGGAAACCGGGGCUAAUACCGCAUAUUGUCCCGGGACCGCAUGGCUCCGGGAUGAAAGCCCUCUGGGCGCUCGAGGAUGGGCCUGCGUCGGAUUAGCUAGUUGGUGGGGUAACGGCCCACCAAGGCGACGAUCCGUAGCUGGUCUGAGAGGACGACCAGCCACACUGGCACUGAGACACGGGCCAGACUCCUACGGGAGGCAGCAGUGGGGAAUCUUGGGCAAUGGGCGAAAGCCUGACCCAGCCACGCCGCGUGGAGGAUGAAGCUCUUCGGGGUGUAAACUCCUUUUCUGGGGGAAGAAAUCCCGGCUCUGGUCGGGACUGACGGUACCCCAGGAAUAAGCGCCGGCUAACUCCGUGCCAGCAGCCGCGGUAAUACGGAGGGCGCAAGCGUUGCCCGGAAUCACUGGGUGUAAAGGGUGCGUAGGCGGGGCUGUAAGUCAGAGGUGAAAGCCUCCGGCUCAACCGGAGAAUUGCCUCUGAUACUGCAGCUCUUGAGUCCCGGAGAGGCCGCUGGAAUUCCUGGUGUAGCGGUGAAAUGCGUAGAUAUCAGGAGGAACACCGGAGGCGAAGGCGGGCGGCUGGACGGGGACUGACGCUGAGGCACGAAAGCGUGGGGAGCAAACAGGAUUAGAUACCCUGGUAGUCCACGCCGUAAACGAUGGAUGCUCGGCGUUGCCGCCUUCGGGCGGCAGUGCCUAAGCUAACGCGGUAA
rnacentral:rRNA from 1 species